CCUCGGGAGGCAGCAGUGGGGAAUAUUGGACAAUGGGCGAAAGCCUGAUCCAGCCAUGCCGCGUGUGUGAAGAAGGCCUUCGGGUUGUAAAGCACUUUCAGUGGGGAAGAAAGCCUUGGGGCUAAUACCCUCGAGGAAGGACAUCACCCACAGAAGAAGCACCGGCUAACUCCGUGCCAGCAGCCGCGGUAAUACGGAGGGUGCGAGCGUUAAUCGGAAUUACUGGGCGUAAAGCGCGCGUAGGCGGUCUGAUAAGCCGGUUGUGAAAGCCCCGGGCUCAACCUGGGAACGGCAUCCGGACCUGUCAGGCUAGAGUGCAGGAGAGGAAGGUAGAAUUCCCGGUGUAGCGGUGAAAUGCGUAGAGAUCGGGAGGAAUACCAGUGGCGAAGGCGGCCUUCUGGACUGACACUGACGCUGAGGUGCGAAAGCGUGGGUAGCAAACAGGAUUAGAUACCCCGGUAGUC
rnacentral:rRNA from 1 species